UACGUAGGGUGCUAGCGUUGUUCGGAAUCAUUGGGCGUAAAGCGCGUGUAGGUUGUUAUGUAAGUCGGAUGUGAAAUCCCUGGGCUCAACCGAGGAAGUGCAUCCGAAACUAUAUGGCUAGAGGACGGUAGAGGAAGGUGGAAGUCCAAGUGUAGAGGUGAAAUUCGUAGAUAUUUGGAGGAAUACCGGCGGCGAAGGCGGCCUUCUGGGCCGUUCCUGACACUGAGACGCGAAAGCGUGGGUAGCAAACAGG
rnacentral:rRNA from 1 species